UGGGGGAUAUUGCACAAUGGGCGAAAGCCUGAUGCAGCGACGCCGCGUGGGGGAUGAAGGCCUUCGGGUUGUAAACUUCUUUUGCUCUGAACAAGGCAUGCCUUUGGGGUGUGUUGAGUGUAGGGGUUGAUUAGCGCCGGCUAACUACGUGCCAGCAGCCGCGGUAAUACGUAGGGCGCGAGCGUUGUCCGGAAUUAUUGGGCGUAAAGGGCUUGUAGGUGGCUGGUUGCGUCUGUCGUGAAAGCUCAUGGCUUAACUGUGGGUUUGCGGUGGGAAAGGGCUGGCUUGAGUGCAGUAGGGGAGGCUGGAAUUCCUGGUGUAGCGGUGGAAUGCGCAGAUAUCAGGAGAAAUACCGGUGGCGAAGGCGGGUCUCUGGGCUGUUACUGACGCUGAGGAGCGAAAGCGUGGGGAGCGAACAGG
rnacentral:rRNA from 1 species